rnacentral:rRNA from 1 species
AACGAACGCUGGCGGCGCGCCUAAUACAUGCAAGUCGAACGAGAAGCUGUAGCAAUACAGUUGUACAGUGGCGAACGGGUGAGGAAUACAUGGGUGACCUACCCUCGAGUGGGGAAUAACCAGCCGAAAGGUUGGCUAAUACCGCGUACGCUUCCCAGUCUACGGGUUGGGAAGGAAAGCGAUGCCGUGGGUAUCGCGCUCAAGGUUGGGCUCAUGUCCUAUCAGCUUGNGGUGGGGUAACGGCUCACCAAGGCAACGACGGGUAGCUGGUCUGAGAGGACGAUCAGCCACACUGGCACUGCGACACGGGCCAGACUCCUACGGGAGGCAGCAGUAAGGAAUAUUGCGCAAUGGGCGAAAGCC